rnacentral:tRNA from 1 species
GCCGGGAUAGCUCAGUUGGUAGAGCAACACUUUUGUAAAGUGAAGGUCGGGGGUUCGAAUCCUCUUCCCGGCU